AUUGAACGCUGGCGGCAUGCCUUACACAUGCAAGUCGAACGGCAGCACGGGAGCAAUCCUGGUGGCGAGUGGCGAACGGGUGAGUAAUAUAUCGGAACGUGCCCAAUCGUGGGGGAGUAACGCAGCGAAAGACUGUGCUAAUACCGCAUACGAUCUACGGAUGAAAGACGGGGGAGUUCGCAAGAACCUCGCGCGAAUGGAGCGGCCGAUAUCAGAUUAGCUAGUUGGUGGGGUAAAAGGACUCACCAAGGCGACGAUCUGUAGCUGGUCUGAGAGGACGACCAGCCACACUGGAACUGAGACACGGUCCAGACUCCUACGGGAGGCUG
rnacentral:rRNA from 1 species